ensembl:lncRNA
GGUGAUGGGUGAAGACAUAUAUGAUUUGUAAUUAGCUGUUUUUUUUUUUUUUUAUCAAGAAAUCUGAAAAACUCUUUUCCUUCUCAUGAUCCAAUCUUUAUCUCUGAUAUUCAGUUUUUUUCCUGAUCUUUUGGUCAAAACUGCCAUCUUUGACAUAUGCUGUAUUUGGGAUCAAGUUCUGCUUGUAUCAAGCUUCUGAGACUCUUUAUACUCAGGAUCUACAGGUGACACAUCUUUUUGGUUUCUCUUUCUUUGUUUCUAGUGACAGCAGUAGAACAUGUAUUGGUCAUUUCAUCAUAUUUCAAUACCUCCUUUCCACUUCAGAUUACUGGAUGGUUCAGUCAACAAAUGCUACAAUGCACACUGCUGGAUCAUGUCUAGCUUUUCAUUCACUGGGACCCUCUAAUUCUCCACCGGACAUGAGUUGAAGAUGAUCCUGGCAUGAUAUCAGCACAGAAAGCUUUUGCAAGAAGAUCUGUGAAAUCCUGACUGGUGAAGAACAUGGAUACAGAGCAAAGAAACCAAGGUCCCCCAGUGCAAUCUAUAGAUAACUCUACUGCUGAAGUUAAUAAGAGAACAACCUUUUUCACACAUAUUGCACUUUCAAAGUUGCAGUAUAUGUAAACAUAAGAAAAGUCAGUCACAUUUCAGUGCUAUCACCUAUCCUUGUCCUGUCCUUUCUUGCACUAUAUUCCGGACUCUUGUUUCUGAAAAAAAAAAACCCCAAAAAAAACACCUGUGUCUAUAUCUCCAUCCUACUGGCUAUACCAUAUCUCUUUAGCCAGAGAAGGUGGUAACUACAGAUGGAUACAGGUUGUUCAUGAAUAACAUCCAGCUAUCAGACAGCAGGAUCCAGUGGUUUCAGUGACAUCAGGAACAACAGCUUGAAUUCAAGAUUGAAUUUGUGGCCUCUGCUUUGCAAUGGAGAAAUAUGAGUUUAACACAGGGAAAAGUCUGUGAUUAUAGUUAUUGCAGAGAGAAAUACCUCCCUUGCAUGUAACAUCCCAGGGAAAUGGUUUUGCCGGUAAAGUACUAUUGAGGCACAUCUGAAAAGGUGUGCUUCUACUGUUCAGCAGAACGUGGAUCAGUGUUAAUAGCAACUGCUCAGGUCUACAAAAAUACAAACCAGAAACUUUCAAGGUGGCACAAGUUAGUACAUACAAUUAUAAAACCAAAGUCAUCCAUGAAAACUUGUAAAACCUCAGGCAAAGAGAUGCCCAAUGUCUUCUGACAAAAAGUGAUGAGCUUUUCUUUAUCUAUCACUAGCUUAAAAUGAACUCAAAUCUUGUAGAAAGUAUUUUAUACCUCACUGAUGAAUUCUCUCAUGUUUGGCAACCCUGUAAGGAGAACAGCUGAUAAAGCAAAUACAAGAGGGUUGAUUAUUUCUAGUACCA